rnacentral:tRNA from 1 species
GGGUCGUUAGCUAAGUAUAUAGAGCAGUUGACUUUUAAUAAAUUGUUCGCAUGUUCGAAUAAUGCACGACCAACCA